rnacentral:rRNA from 1 species
CACGUAGGGGGCGAGCGUUGUCCGGAAUUACUGGGCGUAAAGGGCAGGCAGGCGGAUCCAUAAGUUUAUCGUUUAAGGCGUCGGCUUAACCGGCGUAGGGCGGUAGAUACUGUGGAUCUGGAAUGCGGUUGGGGAAGACAGAAUUCCUGGUGUAGCGGUGGAAUGCGCAGAGAUCAGGAGGAAUACCGAAGGCGAAGGCAGUCUUCCAAGCCGUUAUUGACGCUCAACUGCGAAGGUGUGGGUAUCAAACAGGAUUAGAUACCCCGGUAGUCCCUGAG